UUGUUUACCCUGGCAGCACAUAUACUAACAUUGGACUCAUACAGAGAUUAUUAGCAUGGCUCCUGUGAAAUUAAUAUGCACUAGUCACCAUAAUUUCACAGUGUUA
rnacentral:snRNA from 1 species